rnacentral:rRNA from 1 species
UUGGAGGGCAAGUCUGGUGCCAGCAGCCGCGGUAAUUCCAGCUCCAAUAGCGUAUAUUAAAGUUGUUGCAGUUAAAAAGCUCGUAGUUGAAUUUCGGGGUUAGUAGGUUGGUCAUGCCUCCGGUAUGUACUGGUCACACUGAUUCCUCCUUCCUGAUGAACCGUAAUGCCAUUAAUUUGGUGUUGCGGGGAAUUUGGACUGUUACUUUGAAAAAAUUAGAGUGUUUAAAGCAAGCUAACGCUUGAAUACAUUAGCAUGGAAUAAUGAAAUAGGACGUUCGAUCCUAUUUUGUUGGUUUCUAGGAUUGACGUAAUGAUUAAUAGGGAUAGUUGGGGGCAUUAGUAUUCAAUUGUCAGAGGUGAGAUUCUUGGAUUUAUUGAAGACUAACUACUGCGAAAGCAUUUGCCAAGGAUGUUUUCAUUAAUCAAGAACGAGAGUUAGGGGAUCGAAGACGAUCAGAUACCGUCGUAGUCUUAACCAUAAACUAUGCCGACUAGGGAUCGGAUGAUGUUAAUAUUAAUGACUCAUUCGGCACCUUACGGGAAACCAAAGUGUUUGGGUUC